rnacentral:rRNA from 1 species
UCCGUAGGCGGCUCGGUAGGUGGGGUGUGAAAGCCCACGGCUCAACCGUGGAAUUGCGCUCCAAACCAUCGGGCUAGAGGGAGAUAGAGGAGAGCGGAACUGAUGGUGGAGCGGUGAAAUGCGUUGAUAUCAUCAUGAACACCGGUGGCGAAAGCGGCUCUCUGGGUCUCUUCUGACGCUGAGGGACGAAAGCUAGGGGAGCGAACAGGAUUAGAUACCCUGGUAGUCC